CCUACGGGUGGCAGCAGUGGGGAAUAUUGCGCAAUGGGCGAAAGCCUGACGCAGCGACGCCGCGUGAGGGAUGAAGGUCUUCGGAUCGUAAACUUCUUUCAGCAGGGAGGAACGGUCCCUGUGCUACUCAGCAGUGAAUUGACGGUACCUGCAAAGGAAGCACCGGCUAACUCCGUGCCAGCAGCCGCGGUAAUACGGAGGGUGCAAGCGUUAAUCGGAAUUACUGGGCGUAAAGCGCACGUAGGCGGUAGGUCAAGUCACGGGUGAAAUCCCCGGGCUCAACGUGGGAACUGCAUGUGAAACUGGCAAGCUGGAGUGUGGGAGAGGAUAGUAGAAUUCCAGGUGUAGGAGUGAAAUGCGUAGAGAUCUGGAGGAACAUCAGUGGCGAAGGCGACUAUCUGGAACAUAACUGACGCUGAGGAGCGAAAGCGUGGGUAGCAAACAGGAUUAGAUACCCCUGUAGUC
rnacentral:rRNA from 1 species